rnacentral:rRNA from 1 species
AUUGAACGCUGGCGGCAGGCCUAACACAUGCAAGUCGAACGGUAACAGGAAGAAGCUUGCUUCUUUGCUGACGAGUGGCGGACGGGUGAGUAAUGUCUGUGAAACUGCCUGAUGGAGGGGGAUAACUACUGGAAACGGUAGCUACUACCGCAUAACGUCGCAAGACCAAAAAGGGGGACCUUCGGGCCUCUUGCCAUCGGCUGUGCCCAGAUGGGAUUAGCUAGUAGGUGGGGUAACGGCUCACCUAGGCGACGAUCCCUAGCUGGUCUGAGAGGAUGACCAGCCACACUGGAACUGAGACACGGUCCAGACUCCUACGGGAGGCAGCAGUGGGGAAUAUUGCACAAUGGGCGCAAGCCUGAUGCAGCCAUGCCGCGUGUAUGAAGAAGGCCUUCGGGUUGUAAAGUACUUUCAGCGGGGAGGAAGGGAGUAAAGUUAAUACCUUUGCUCAUUGACGUUACCCGCAGAAGAAGCACCGGCUAACUCCGUG